UACGGAGGGUGCAAGCGUUAUCCGGAUUCACUGGGUUUAAAGGGUGCGUAGGCGGACAGGUAAGUCAGUGGUGAAAUCUCUGGGCUUAACCCAGAAACUGCCGUUGAUACUAUUUGUCUUGAAUAUCCUGGAGGUAGGCGGAAUAUGUCAUGUAGCGGUGAAAUGCUUAGAUAUGACAUAGAACACCGAUAGCGAAGGCAGCUUACUACAUGAUGAUUGACGCUGAGGCACGAAAGCGUGGGGAGCAAACAGG
rnacentral:rRNA from 1 species